CUAAAAAUUUAGCCCCAUCCCCGCCUGUAUAAAUUUUUGUAUUAUUCUCUUCAAACCAAAACAUUCUUAAUAUUUAGUAAAGGUGAUUAAAAAAUUUUCUGGAGCAAUAACCUCAGUACCGUAAGGGAAAAAUGAAAUAAAAAUGAAAUAAUUUUAAGCAAAAAAAAGUAGAGCUAAGCUCUCGUACCUUUUGCAUCAUGAUUUAACUAGUUUAACUAAGCAAAAAGACUUUUAGUUUUAAUCCCCGAACCUAGACGAGCUAUUUUAGGGCAGCUUAUGAGCGAACCCGUCUCUGUCGCAAAAGAGUGGGAAGACCCUAUAAUAGCGGUGACAGACCAAACGAGUCUAGCGAUAGCUGGUUGCUCUUGAAUAGGAUUUUAGUCCUGCUUAAAGCUUUAGUAGUAUUAAGAAACUAACUUUAAAGUUAUUCAAACAAGGUACAGCCUGUUUGAAAAAGGAAACAACCUCAACUACUGGGUUAUUACAAACAAAUUCAUGACAAAGUAGGCCUAAAAGCAGCCAUCUAAAACAAAAGCGUCAAAGCUUAUUCAUUUAUUUAUUAAAUUCCUCUUCCUCCCUCUAACCCCUCCCCACUAAAGAGCAAUUCUAUAUUUUUAUAGAAAAUUUUAUGUUAAAACUAGUAAUAAGAAGCAGACCUUCUCUUAAAUGUGAAUUUACAACAGCAAGGACACUCCACUGAUUUUUAACGCCCUAAAAAUACAAUAGAAACUAACCAAGAAAACUCUAUUUUCCCUGACGUUAACCUUACACAAGAACAUUUUAAGAAAGAUUAAAAGAAAAAGAAGGAACUCGGCAAACAUUAGCCUCGCCUGUUUACCAAAAACAUCGCCUCUUGCUUAUUAAUAAGAGGUCCAGCCUGCCCAGUGACUCUGUUCAACGGCCGCGGUAUCCUAACCGUGCGAAGGUAGCGUAAUCACUUGUUCUUUAAAUGAGGACUAGUAUGAAUGGCCCCACGAAGGCUACACUGUCUCCUUUUUCUAAUCAAUGAAAUUAAUCUCCCCGUGAAGAAGCGGGGAUACCAAUAUAAGACGAGAAGACCCUAUGGAGCUUUAAACUACUGAAACACUUGCUUCUUACCCCUCACCUCCCGAGUAUUUAAAAUUAUUUAAGCAUUUUAUUUCAAGUUUUAGGUUGGGGUGACCACGGAGUAAAAUUAAACCUCCCUGAUGUAAGAGACUCCACUCUUAGCUAAAAACCACUUUUUUAAGCACCAACAAAUUGACUUCCAUUGACCCAAUUUUUUGAUCAACGAACCAAGUUACCCUAGGGAUAACAGCGCAAUCUACUUCAAGAGCUCAUAUCGACAAGUAGGUUUACGACCUCGAUGUUGGAUCAGGGUAUCCUAGUGGUGCAGCCGCUACUGAUGGUUCGUUUGUUCAACGAUUAAAACCCUACGUGAUCUGAU
rnacentral:rRNA from 1 species